rnacentral:rRNA from 1 species
AGAAUCAACGCUGGCGGCGUGCCUAACACAUGCAAGUCGCACGAGAAAGGGGAGCAAUCCCUGAGUACAGUGGCGCACGGGUGAGUAACACGUGAAUUAUCUACCUCCGAGUGGGGAAUAACUGAGAGAAAUCUUAGCUAAUACCGCAUAACACUUACGAGUCAAAGCAGCAAUGCGCUUGGAGAGGAGUUCGCGGCCGAUUAGUUAGUUGGCGGGGUAAUGGCCCACCAAGACGAUGAUCGGUAUCCGGCCUGAGAGGGCGCACGGACACACUGGAACUGAAACACGGUCCAGACUCCUACGGGAGGCAGCAGUGGGGAAUUUUGCGCAAUGGGGGAAACCCUGACGCAGCAACGCCGCGUGGAGGAUGAAGCCCCUUGGGGUGUAAACUCCUUUCGAUCGGGAAGAUAAUGACGGUACCGAUAUAAGAAGCCCCGGCUAACUUCGUGCCAGCAGCCGC